UAGUGAAUGUACAGCAGUUAGACAGUGAUUAGAAGGCAACUAUAGCCAGUGUGGUUGAGCAGAGCUUGUGAGAGAGUGGACUUCUGAGAGUGAGUGACUGAGGUGUGCUAGUUGGUUUGUGUGGUGUGUCUUUGAGUCUGUGUGUUUGUGGUACAGUGGAGUAGGUAGAUAGGUGGACAGGUGUAGGUGAGGGAAAUGGAUCCCAAAAUUGUGAGGGAGCUUCUGGAGUUCAAACUCCACAAUCGCUAUCCUGAAGGAACAACCAGCAGGGAAAGGUUUACAAUCAAGAGAAGAGCUGAGACCUUCAGGAUAAAUGCUGAGUACAAUGGAUAAUGUCAUGUAAACCAUCAGAGUGUAGUAUUGUGCUGUAAUGUGAUCAUUUCUUUUUUUUUUCUGUUUUUUCUUGUCUUGCCUUACAUGCUUAAUGUAGAUGGAGACCUGUAUUAUAUAUGCAGGCGGAAGAAGAACAAAACUGAGCACCUGGCGAAAGUGGUCUGCUCUGCCAAAGAGGCAAAUGACAAUUUCAUUCCUGCCACUUUGGUGAACACUGUGGAUGGGAGAAGACCCACAGUGCUGUCAUGGCACACUAUUACUGGCCUGGCAUGGAGGGGGACAUUAAAAAAUGGGGGAGCACAUUUUGUCUGAAUGAGCCUCAAACUCAUUUUGAAAAUCCCCCUUUUUUGUUUGUUUGUUUUUCUGUUGUUUGUUUUUGUCUUUUGUUUGUACUUUGUUGCUCCUGUCUAACCCAUAUUACCUACAGCUCUAAGGCAUUUUGCUGAUUAUUAGCAUGUAAUGUUACUUCAUUUGUCAAUAGGUUGCUCAGUACCCACAAUGCCAGUGUAAGCGGGCCAAUAUUAAGGAAAAGAAAGGAUACAUUCCAAUCGAGGUCACGGAGCCCUUUGAGCUCGUUGGAAUGGAUCUUGUGGGUAAACUAACCUUAAUGGAUGGUGGUAAUCAAUAUAUUUGUGUAAUGGUUGACUAUUUCACCAAAUGGGCAGAGACCUACCACUGAAAAACAAAACUGCAGAUGAGGUCACCAGUUGUAUUCUGGAUUUUUUUUUACAAAUUUGGUGCACCUAAAACUGCUAACAGACCAGGGCUCAGAGUUUUGCAACAAGGUCAACUAUGGCUUGUGUAAAACCCUGGGCAUCCAAAGAAGCCUCUGCUCACCAUUCCAUCCCCAAACCAAUGGCACAAGAUUAAAUGGAACAAUCCAGAGAUCCCUCAAUAAACUGGUGAGUGAAGAGCCCAAGAACUGGGACAAAUUUCUGCAGUCCACCAUGUUUGGACUGAGGACAAAAAAGCAGCUGACUACAAAAUACAGCCCAUAUUUCCUCAUGUUUGGCAGAGAGGCAAGGUAUCCAUCGGAGAUCCCAAAGGAAUACAAGAUUACAGAAGACAUGGUCACUAAAGUAAUUUCAAAUGAAGACGUGUGUGAGGGCCUACAAACCCAGGAGGUGGUAUACGCUGAAGUAAUCAAAAAUGUUAAAACCAUCCAAGACAAAAUCCGCAGGGGAAAGGCAAAAAGGGGAGAGGAGGAUGGCUUUCAGGUGGGAGACCUGGUUUUGUGCAAAAAUGUGAGGCAAGAGCAGAGAAAAGGCCAUCACUGGUGCAGUCUUGCUGUGACCCCAUAAAUGGUGAGUAAGCAGACAAUGAACAAAUGAUAUGUCUGA